UUUUUAGAAGAACUUUUCUUCUAUAAAACGAUGCAUUUUACAAUUCUGUAGGAAUUUUUUUAGCGCAGCAAAAUAUAAAGAAGAAAAUAAAAAUUAUUCUUAAUAACCCAGAGAUAACACCUGUAAAUAUUUGAUGGCUUGUUAUGUAUACCCGACAUGAUCAGCAUUAUAUGCAUAUCUGCUUUUCAUUCUUUGUGCAUCAAAAAUAUUUGUUUUGUUUUUUUUUUUAUAGAGACGGGGUUUCCCCAUGUUGGCCAGGCUGGUCUUGAACUCCUGACCUCAGGUGAUAUGCCUGCCUUGGCCUCCCAAAGUGCUGGGAUUACAGGCAUGAGCCACCGUGCCUGGCCACAAAUAUUUCUUAAUUCAUAAAAUAUUUCCUUUUAAAAAAUCUUU
rnacentral:lncRNA from 1 species